rnacentral:lncRNA from 1 species
GUGCGGGCCGUGAGGGGUGUGCGCGCUUGAGCCGGAGCGGGGCUCGCCCCUCGUCGGCUCCCGCCGCCCAGCCGGUGAUCGCUCUCCGGCCGUCCCCGGCACCCUCGGCCCCCCACGGCGGUUGGUCCGGGCGGGGGAAGGAGAAAGUGAGACUCGGUGUCAUCACCAAUCCAUCGCCAGAAGGGGAGGAAACUGGAAUCCAGCAGCGGCGAGCAGCAGCUGGACGGAUUUAUUUAAUGGGGAUGUGUUCAAGGCAAGACCGAAUUCAGAAGGAUAUCGACGUCGUGAUCCAGAAGUCCAGAGCUGAGGACUGCCUGUUUGCAGGGCCCGCCUGGCAGGACGACUGAGCAAGUCCUUGGAAAACCAGAGAUAUUAGAGCGGUGAAUCGCGCUGGUCACGUUGGACACCUGCGCGUUAGGAGAUUCUGGAGCCAGAGGGAGAGACCCCAGAAACUCCCCGGUCGGCGACCCAGCCCGAGACGCCUGGGGUCCCAAGGGAAGCUGAACGCCCGGUGGGCUCCCGGGAUGGUUCUUCCGGUUCUUUGUGCCGCCUUCACCCAGUGAAGGAGCCUGUAUCCACCCUGCCCAGUCGCUGUUGGGCUGCUGCGGAGCUUCCGCUGCCAUCUUCGGAUCCUGUGUUCCGCCCGGGGCUCCACCAGGGCAGGGAUGGUGGUGAGGGUCGCUCGUGGGUCCCCUGGCAGGGAGCAGGGUCUGGCACUCACAAGGGCGCACGACUAGGACUUGUCGAAUGAAUCCUUUGUCGCCUUUAGCUUUUAGUCCUUUGAAGAGAGCAGAAUGGGGAAAUGGAGAGAGAACCUGAAAGAGCCCCAAACUCGAGGACCUAUUGCUCCCCAAGAAUAACAUCUUCCAGAACUAGACAGAAAACUAGGCGUCUGGGAACCCUGAAAUCCUUGGAGGAGUAGAUCAUCAUGACCCUCUGUGUUCCUUUUGGCAAAUGACUUGCUUCCAUUGUUUGUUUGUUCAAUUGUCUGUUUGUUAAAUAAAUAAAACCCU